ACCGAUUCCUGAGGAUGACUAGUGUUCCUUGCAGUAAUUAGUCUCGGACACUACAAGCUAUUCUCUGAUGUGUGGUAAAUCCUGUUUAGUGGCGUUCUCUGUGCCAGCUUAUAUCUUGGAAACGCCUCAUGUUAUU
rfam:Triticum aestivum genome assembly, contig: Triticum_aestivum_CS42_TGACv1_scaffold_542951_6DS